rnacentral:rRNA from 1 species
GACGAAGGGGGCUAGCGUUGUUCGGAAUUACUGGGCGUAAAGCGCGUGUAGGCGGUUGUUCAAGUCAGGUGUGAAAGCCUUGAGCUCAACUCAAGAAAUGCACUUGAUACUGGAUGACUAGAGGACCGGAGAGGAUAGUGGAAUUCCCAGUGUAGUGGUGAAAUACGUAGAGAUUGGGAAGAACACCAGUGGCGAAGGCGGCGCUCUGGACCGAGACUGACGCUGAGGCGCGAAAGCGUGGGGAGCAAACAGG